GUGUGUGUAAUUUAAAUAAAAUAUCAAGCUGUGACCUUGAACAUAGAAAUACUCUCAC
rnacentral:tRNA from 1 species